GUGGCCUACGGGAGGCAGCAGUGGGGAAUAUUGGGCAAUGGGCGCAAGCCUGACCCAGCAACGCCGCGUGAAGGAAGGAGGCUUUCGGGUUGUAAACUUCUUUUAUCAGGGACGAAGCAAGUGACGGUACCUGAUGAAUAAGCCACGGCUAACUACCUGCCAGCAGCCGCGGUAAUACGUAGGUGGCGAGCGUUAUCCGGAUUUACUGGGUGUAAAGGGCGUGUAGGCGGGAAUGCAAGUCAGAUGUGAAAACUAUGGGCUCAACCCAUAGCCUGCAUCUGAAACUGUAUUUCUUGAGUGCUGGG
rnacentral:rRNA from 1 species